UACGUAGGGGGCAAGCGUUGUCCGGAAUCAUUGGGCGUAAAGAGCGUGUAGGCGGCCAGGUAGGUCUGCUGUGAAAACUCGAGGCUUAACCUCGAGCUGUCGGCGGAAACCAUCUGGCUAGAGUCCGGAAGAGGAGAAUGGAAUUCCCGGUGUAGCGGUGAAAUGCGCAGAUAUCGGGAAGAACACCCGUGGCGAAGGCCGUUCUCUGGGACGGUACUGACGCUGAGACGCGAAAGCGUGGGGAGCGAACAGG
rnacentral:rRNA from 1 species